rnacentral:lncRNA from 1 species
GGGAUAAAUCUGGUCUAGAUGCUCUUUUCAAUAAGUAUAAAUUAUGUUUGGAAGGCAAGUCUAUUUUAAAAAUAAGUUAGAUCAAGGUAAGCUAUCUAAAACUUUUUGUAGCAUGCUUGAUAUGCAUUUGAGCCAAUCCAGUUUGAAAUUGAGCCGAUCUAGUAUUAGAAGGUAGAAAAGACAGAAAUCUUCAAAACAUAGAACAAUUUUCUGAGCUGAC